GGGGAAUAUUGCACAAUGGAGGGAACUCUGAUGCAGCGACGCCGCGUGAGUGAAGAAGGUUUUCGGAUCGUAAAACUCUGUCCUUGGUGAAGAUAAUGACGGUAGCCAAGGAGGAAGCCCCGGCUAACUACGUGCCAGCAGCCGCGGUAAUACGUAGGGGGCGAGCGUUGUCCGGAUUUACUGGGCGUAAAGGGUGAGUAGGCGGUUGUAUAUGUCAGGUGUAAAAGGCUAUGGCUUAACCAUAGUUCGCACUUGAAACUGUAUGACUUGAGUGCAGGAGAGGUAAGCGGAAUUCCUAGUGUAGCGGUGAAAUGCGUAGAUAUUAGGAGGAACACCAGUGGCGAAGGCGGCUUACUGGACUGUAACUGACGCUGAGUCACGAAAGCGUGGGUAGCAAAC
rnacentral:rRNA from 1 species